AUAUUGGACAAUGGGCGCAAGCCUGAUCCAGCCAUGCCGCGUGAGUGAUGAAGGCCUUAGGGUUGUAAAGCUCUUUCGCCGGGGAAGAUAAUGACGGUACCCGGAGAAGAAGCCUCGGCUAACUCCGUGCCAGCAGCCGCGGUAAGACGGAGGAGGCUAGCGUUGUUCGGAAGUACUGGGCGUAAAGCGUACGCAGGUGGCGAGACAAGUCGGAUGUGAAAGCCCGGGGCUCAACCCCGGAUGUGCAUCCGAUACUGUUUUGCUGGAGUCCGGAAGAGGAGAGCGGAAUUCCCAGUGUAGAGGUGAAAUUCGUAGAUAUUGGGAAGAACACCGGUGGCGAAGGCGGCUCUCUGGUCCGGUACUGACACUCAAGUACGAAAGCGUGGGGAGCAAACAGGA
rnacentral:rRNA from 1 species